rnacentral:rRNA from 1 species
UACGUAGGGGGCGAGCGUUAUCCGGAUUUACUGGGUGUAAAGGGAGCGUAGACGGCCAUGCAAGCUCGGUGUGAAAGGUGCGGGCACAACCCGCAGACCGCACUGAGAACUGUAUGGCUGGAGUGCCGGAGGGGCAGGCGGAAUUCCUGGUGUAGCGGUGAAAUGCGUAGAUAUCAGGAGGAACACCGGUGGCGAAGGCGGCCUGCUGGACGGCGACAGACGUUGAGGCUCGAAAGCGUGGGGAGCGAACAGG